GUCCGUGAACACCUAAUUUUUGACCAAACCUAAGACGUUACACUAUAUGUAUAUAUAUGCGUGCGUGUUUUCUUUUAAUUCAGGUCUUAAUAAAUAAACUAGUAAUUUUAGUACUCUUCUUAGUUAUAUUUUAUUUAAAUUUUUUAAAUUUUUAUUAAAGUCUAAAAUUGUAGCUAAUAUUUUUCGUCAUUAUAUUUUAUUAAUUAAAAAAAAACGAAAAAAAAAGAUAAAAUCAAAAAGACAAGAAAAAGUGUAGUAGUCAAAAAACAAAUCCAUGCAUUUAUUACCCUAUCUUCCCUUUGAAAAAUACUACCCAACCAAUCCCUUAUUUCCCUCCCUACAGAUUUUAGACUCCUCUAUUUUCCUAUUUUCACACUACACAUUCCACAUGCUUCACUCUUUUCCCUUACUAUAAAUAGACACACAAAACACAAACAAGAGCACACAGACAGAGAGCAAGAGAAUACACAGAGCUAUUGUCCAAAACGCCAUUUCUCAUUUUUAAACCACCAUAAACAGACUCAUCUUUUACAUUUUUUUUCCACCAUUUUCCUCCAUUAAUGUUCCAUCACUGACACAUCAUAACAACCACCAUCAUUCAAGCCUGAAAGUAGCGGUAAAGCCAGCUGCCAAUACCAUAUAAACCUCACUGAAUCACCCAUUAAAACCCAACAAAAAAUCUGAAUCCGUUUCAUCACUUUGGUCGAGUUCACAGAGGUGCCGUCGUCGGAUUUCGAGGUCGAGUUCGCUGUUGAGAUUCUUGCGGUCCGAUUCUUGAUUGUUUACAUCGUUCAAAUCUUGUAUUUUGCGGGGAUUUCUCCAUUUAAUAGUGAAAAGCAUCUUGAAAGGAUGAAGACCUCAAGGAGCUUCGUUGUCUUGCGGAGAAUCAACUGCAAGAGUAAAAAAAAUUUGAAAGACAGAAGAGACAAGGCAGUUCUUGAUGUAAUGUUGUAAUCACAAAAAAGUUACAAAAGAAAUUCCUAAUCUAUUGUAUUCUUUGUAAUUUAUGUACAAAAGCUGAAGAAUAAUUUUAUCUUUAAGAUAUCCGAUUCCCUA